GCCCUGUGGGCCCGGGAGCGGCGCGCCUCGCGGCGGCGCCCUGCGCAGGCUCCGCAGGCGUUGAGCGCGGGAGGCUCGGCGAUCCUCCCAGGGAUGCGGCGGCGGCGGCGUCGAGCCUUUGUAUCCCGCGGUUGGUGCGGUGAGGUGUCUCUCUCGGCUGCUGAAUACCAUUCGGUCACGUGUGGUAGGAGGAGAGAUUUGUCUAAAAACCUGAGACCGCUCCUAGCUCAGAUCUCUGGGAAAGGUUCCAGCUUCCCCCGAGAUUUACAGCUUACCUAGAGAGACUCUCCUUGUUGAAUGGGGACACCCGCUUGUUCGCCCAGAUCGCAGAAUCUGGCCCUUUCUUGUCGGAAAUAUUUGCUAAGUGAUUGAGAGGCUGCAGGUGCCUGUUGCCUUUAUUCAGAUUAUCAGUUAAUUUCAUUGUGCUCUUACCAACAAGUGCUACAGGUCCAUAAGAAAAAAUUAAACACCGCAACUCAACUAAAGGUGUUACCUAUAACACAAACAUUAGUAACAGUGUUGGUGUUAAUGGAACUGACAGUUCAGAUACACUGAUCCCUGCAGUACAGGGACACAAAAGCCCAAUCCCAGGAUCUAAACAAACUUGGAAACCUUUUUCACACCAUGAGAUGGAAUUUCACAUUCUUUUUAACCCACUGGAACAGCCAGCUAGUUUUGAGCCUGAAGAAAAGAGAUCAGACAGUUCUCUCAACACGAACCUCUGGGUGGAUUGGGCAGGGAACACAAGGAACUUCCAUACCCUGAGCUCCCUGUGUGCUUGAGCACUUUCUCCCCAAACCCUGUGGUACAUACUGGAGGAAGAACCCUGGCUUUGAAAUCAGAUAUGGAUGCCAGUUACUAGCUGCGUGGUGCUGGGCAAUGUACGAAGCCCAUCUGGGCUUCAGUGCCUUCGCCUUAAAGUGGUUAUAAUAUUUACCUCCUUAAAACUGUUGUAA